CGGAAUAUAGCCUAGUCUGGUAAGGCGCAUGGUUUGGGGCCAUGAGAUCGCAGGUUCGAAUCCUGCUAUUCCGACCA
rnacentral:tRNA from 1 species